rnacentral:tRNA from 1 species
CAGUAGUUCAACUGGAUAGAAUAUCAGAUUUCGGCUCUGAGGGUUGGGGGUUCGAAUCCUCCCUGGGUCACAA